GAUGAACGCUAGCUACAGGCUUAACACAUGCAAGUCGAGGGACCGGCGCACGGGUGAGUAACACGUAUCCAACCUGCCCUUUACUCGGGGAUAGCCUUUCGAAAGAACGAUUAAUACCCGAUGUAAAGGAUGGGGAUGCGUUCCGUUAGGUUGUUGGUGAGGUAACGGCUCACCAAGCCUUCGAUGGAUAGGGGUUCGGAGAGGAAGGGCCACAACAAUGGAAAUGAGACACGGACCAAACUCCGACGGGAGGCAGCAGUGAGGAAUAUUGGUCAAUGGGCGUUAGCCUGAACCAGCCAAGUAGCGGGAAGGAUGAAGGCUUAUGGGUCGUAAACUUCUUUUAUAUAAGAAUAUGUAUUAGAUGAAUAAGGAUCGGCUAACUCCGUGCCAGCAGCCGCGGUAAUUC
rnacentral:rRNA from 1 species